rnacentral:rRNA from 1 species
UACGGGGGGAGCAAGCGUUGUCCGGAUUUAUUGGGCGUAAAGAGCGUGUAGGCGGCCAUACAGGUCAGCUGUGAAAACUCGAGGCUCAACCUCGAGACGUCGGUUGAAACCGUUUGGCUAGAGUCCGGAAGAGGAGAGUGGAAUUCCCGGUGUAGCGGUGAAAUGCGCAGAUAUCGGGAAGAACACCCGCGGCGAAGGCGGCUCUCUGGGACGGUACUGACGCUGAGACGCGAAAGCGUGGGGAGCGAACAGG